rnacentral:tRNA from 1 species
GCAUUGGUGGCUCAGUGGUAGAAUUCUCACCUUCCAUGUGGGAGACUUGGGUUUGACUUCUAGUCAAUGCA